GAUGAAGAACGCAGCGAAAUGCGAUACUUGGUGUGAAUUGCAGAAUCCCGUGAACUAUCGAGUCUUUGAACGCAAGUUGCGCCCGAAGCCAUUAGGCCGAGGGCACGCCUGCCUGGGCGUCACACGUCGUUGCCCCCCCAUCUACUCCUUCGGGAUUGCGGGGGGCGGAUGAUGGCCUCCCGUGCGCCUCGUCGCGCGGUUGGCAUAAAUGCCAAGUCCUCGGCGACACACGCCACGACAAUCGGUGGUUGCGAAACCUCGGUUGCCCGUCGUGUGCGGUCGUCGCGCAUCGAGGGCUCGAAAAAAUUGCCGGGCUCCGGCUCGGCUUUCAACGCGACCCCAGGUCAGGCGGGGUUACCCGCUGAAUUUAAGCAUAUCAAUAAGCGGAGGA
rnacentral:misc_RNA from 1 species